AGCUUCGUCUGGGAGGACUAGGGAAACCUGACUUCCUCAGACUGCUUCCUUCUUAUAAACUCUUGGUUCCUUAUUUAUCGUUUUCUCAUGUUGUUUUUUUUUUUUUUAAGUUGUUUGACCUGAUUUUAUCAUAGUAGUUCCAAAUGCCUUACAGCCCAGUGGAGUCAAGCUAAGGAAGGACAGCAUGAUUUCCACAGGAUUUGUAUUUCUUCCCUCUGGAUAAAGUGAUAGUAGUUCCCAGACUCACUGCCGGCAGGAUCCAAGGUGGUCUUUCCUCCGGGAUUUAAUCUGGUGUCAUCAGGAACCUACACUCAGGUUUUAUUGGAGAGCAAGCCUCAAUAAGAAGUGUGCUUUGAGGAGAAUCAAGGACUCAAUUUAGGCAUAAAAGGUGUUGCUCAGCACAAUACCCUCUACGGUAAGCUACCAGUCCUGAGAACCUGUGGUCAAAACUGAAUUGAAAAUAUUGAUGGAACUCAGACUCUGUGUAACUGGGGACUGGUUCAGAGCUCAAGACUAUAAUUUACAGGGCAGCUUUUAUCCUUUAUUUAGUUCUAUCCAAAGUCAUCUUGCGUCAAGUCAAAAGGAGAGAUUCUGUGAGGGUAACCUACAGGGGAAAUUUCCCAGCUUUGUGUGAAGAAUCCAGUGGUUGUGUGUCUAUCUGCAUCCUGAGGAACCAUGUCCUCUUUAUAUACCCGAAGUAAAGAAUUCACUCGGAAUAGGAAAUCUCAGUCUGAUUCUCCCCCAGCAUCUCCCUCCCUGACUGCCAAGAUGCUCUGAACUGUGUGUAUAUCGCGAGUCGGAGGCCAAACACACCGUAUUUCAUCUGUAGCAUUCAAGACUUCAAACUGAUAUCAUGGAAAUCAGGACAGUGGCAGUUGGGAUUGUGGCAAUCAAAGGGGUGGAAAGUGAAUUCUAUCUUGCAAUGAACAAGGAAGGAAAAUUCUAUGCAAAGAAAGAAUGCAAUGAAGAUUGUAACUUCAAAGAACUAAUUCUGGAAAACCAUUAAAACACAUAUGCAUCAGCUAAAUGGUCACACAAUGGAGGGGAAAUGUUUGUUGCCUUAAAUCAAAAGGGGAUUCCUGUAAGGGGAAAAAAAACAAAGAAAGAAUGAAAAACAGCCCACUUUCCUCCUAUGGCAAUAACUUAAUUGCAUAUGGUAUAUAAACAACCAGUUCCAGCAGGGAGAUUUCUUUAAGUGGACUGUUUUCUUCUCAAAAUUUUCUUUCCUUUUAUUUUUUAGUAAUCAAGAAAGGCUGGAAAACUACUGAAAAACUGAUCAAGCUGGACUUGUGCAUUUAUGUUUAAGACACUGCAUUAAAGAAAGAUUGAAAAGUAAACAAAAAAAUCAGAUUUUGUAACUAAAGGUUGUACAAAAUUGUAGAACUGGUUGUACAAUCAUGAUGUUAGUAAUAGUAAUUUUUUUCUUAAAUUAAUUUACCCUUAAGAGUAUGUUAGAUUUGAUUAUCUGAUAAUGAUUAUUUAAAUAUUCCUAUCUGCUUAUAAAAUGCCUGCUAUAAUAAUAAUAAUGCAGAUGAUGUUAUAAGGUAUAUCAGACCUACAGGCUGCUGGCAGGAUUUGUCAGAUAAUCAAGCCACACUAACUAUGGAAAAUGAGCAAAAUUUAUAUGCUUUCUAGUGACAAAUUAUGAUCUACUUAAACUCUAAUCAGAAAAAAAGAAUAUUCUCAAAAAAAUCUACUAUGAAAGUCAAUAAAAUAGAUAAUUUAACAAAAGUACAGGAUUAGAACAUGCUUAUACCUAUUAACAAGAACAAAAUUUCUAAUGCUGCUCAAGUGGAAAGGGUAUUGCUAAAAGGACGUUUCCAAAAAUCUUGUAUGUAAGAUAGCAACAGUGAUUGAUGAUAAUACUGUACUUCAUCUUACUUGCCACAAAAUAACAUUUUAUAAUUGCUCAAAGUAAAAUUGAGAAAUCUUUAAGUUUUUUUCAAGUAACACAAUCUAUCUUUGUAUAAUUCAUAUUUGGGAAUAUGGCUUUUAAUAAUGUUCUUCCCACAAAUAAUCAUGCUUUUUUCCUGUGGUUACAGCAUUAAACUCUAUUUUAAGUUG